rnacentral:SRP_RNA from 1 species
AGCCGGGGUGUUAGCGGUACCUUGAACCUGCAAUCCGCUAUAGCAGGGGUGAUGUUACGCAGAGGGCUUUGCAUUGUAUGGCAGCCCUUGGUAAGUGGCGCUUACGACUUGGGUCUUACGCGACGGGAAUCCAUGAAUCGUGUCAGGUCGGGAACGAAGCAGCACUAAGUGGAACCUUCCGGGUGCCGUAAGGGUGCCUGGGUCUAGUCAACUGCCAAGGUAACGCAUGUG